AUGAAGUCGGAAUUGCUGUAAUCGCGGAUCAGCAUGCCGCGGUGAAUACGUUCCCGGGCCUUGUACACACCGCCCGUCACACCAUGGGAGCCGGUAAUGCCCGAAGUCAGUAGUCCAACCUCGUGAGGACGCUGCCGAAGGUAGGAUUGGCGACUGGGGUGAAGUCGUAACAAGGUACC
rnacentral:rRNA from 1 species